UUUAAGAGGAAGUGUCCCAAUUAGCGUGAGCGAAUGAACAAACGCUUCGGAUUCCGUACUCUUAUAAAGUGUCUGAGCAGCUGUGAGGAAUGGUUGCUGCUUGAUUGUCUGUUUCAUCGGCAGAUUUCUUCUCUAAUCAGGCUGCGUUUAUCCUUCAUGUGCAAGUGUUGUGCAUUUAGUAAGGGGGUGAUCAGAUCUGCUCUUUGGCGGCUGGACUGUGGAUGUGCUGUUUGAGUGUGGUAUUGUUGUGCAGGCCUGGUUAAACGGAGAGGAACUGCAUUUGGUCACUGCUGUCCUUCUUUACCCUUUAUUUUUGGGUUUUGUGAUUUAAUGUUUGUUUGGUUUUCUUUAUUUAAGGCACCCAUCAUGUUGUAUGGAUGCUGUGUUUAGCUGAUUGUUAAAAAGACUAUAGGGGAUUGUUUGCAGAUAUUUUACUGUAUGAUAACCAACUGAUUUUGUGUAUCUGUUCCUUUCCAGUGGGUCAUCUGGGAGCACUGGUUGGAUUGUGGGUGUUGGUCCUUUGAUGGUGGAAUCUGUGCUACGGUUUACACUGCAUGCUGUGUGAAUUUUAUGAAUUUACGGUGUGUGGCACUUUGCAUGUGUGUGGGUGUGUGUGUGUGUUGUGUUUUCCUUUACAGGCACCAUUUUGGGUGAACCUUUUGGGGUUAAAGUGGGCCUGUGUAGUGGGUUCGCUCUGCGUUGUGUAUGUUUUUAAAUGAAAAGACUCUACACGUUGGUACAAUUGUCGUAUGAUUUACUUCCAGCUUCUGUAUUCUCCAAUCACUGUAUUGAAACAGACACCAUCAGAUAAUAAAUGGCGAAUCUCUGGUCUA